rnacentral:lncRNA from 14 species
GCUGUGGCGGCUGCGCGGUGUGGCUGUGGUGAGGGGUUGCAGCGGGCCUUGGGUGCGCCCCGUGCCUGCUGUGAGGUCUUCUCUGGUGGGUGAUCGGCAGGGACAUAAUUCUUCCUCUCUCCCCAGUCUGCACAGAAUUUAGGCCAAGUGUAUGCCCUGAUGAAGUUAGUUUUUGACCUGUCUCACAGAUAAAGAAGCCUGAAGGAAAGGAAGGACUAAUGGAUACCUCCUCAGUGUGAAACAUGUUGUAGCUGAGCAGCAAGGAUAGACCUGCUUGUCACGUACAAGAAGAGAACCUCCAGCUUUGCCUAAGCAGGACAGUGCCUCUGCUCUGCUCCCUUCCUGCCAUCUGCUGCUGCUUUCUGGAGAAGACAGUUCAAAGGAGGACCAAAGCAGGACAUCUGAAGCUACCAGAGGUGGUGACAUCUGAAAGGAAGAGAUGAAAGCUCCGUGGCAAUUUGUUAAAUAAAAACAACCUUAAUAUCUCA